CAAUGUCACCCUAGGAUACUACUGCUGUUGUUUCAUCACUGUUUAAUGUCCAGAGUGUGCGCAGUGAGUGUUGUACAAAACACAGAAAUGUCCUCGCCCCUCCCCACAAGGCUUACAGUUUACAGGAGACCACUGGGAAUCCAGUAUUCCAUGCUCCAAGGGACUCACCCGUGUCACCAGGACUGACCUUAUACCUUUUCACAUCCUGAAGUUAAUCAGCUCCACCCUCCUGUGCUGGAGCUCAUGUUUAAAAUGGCACAUAGGAAACGGAGGCAUUUGCUCCAUCUGGAAAUAGUCGACAGAAGCAACCGCUUCAUGGAGCUUCAUAGUGACACUGGCUCCUGCUUCUUGCUGCCCAUCCUCUUCCAGGAUAUCCUAAUCCUAACUUUCCUAGGCCAUCUCUUACUGACUGACCUAUUUCCCAGGAAUAGUGUUUUCAAGUUAGCCUCAGUAUCUCUGCCAGGAUACGUCAUUAAAUGGCUGUAGAGUCCUGGCUGAUAACUGCCACUCACCAACUGUUUUCCUCUUCUAGAAGCUUCCGUUUGGGUUCCUGGGGAAUUGUUUGCUCCUGACGGCAGUGAUGAGGCUCUCAACGUGUGUUCAAAAUUAGCUCUAAUCCAAAAAGCCAUCCUUUAUUCUUUUCUCAGCAUUGUCUUUCUCUUAGACUCAGCUAUUGUAGAGAGAGGGUUUUUUAAAAAAUACCCAGUGUAGCCACAGACAGAGGCACUCUUGCCCCUGGACUUCGGGGCUGAGGUCCAGGGCCUCCACAGCCCCUGGGGGCCCCCAAAUCUUCCUUAAUCUGUCCUGGGUGGUGUGGUCGUCUGGCCGAGCAUGAUGAUGCUUAAUUUGCAUGGGAGGGGGGCCUCCAAAGGCCUUUAAGUCUAGGCUCCAAAAUUACCUAGGUGCACCUCUGGCCACAAAUUGAAUGAUCAUCAGGAAGUUUCAAGUUCCAGUUCUUUCUCAGCUGUGAAGUGCAGGGGCGUAACUAUAAUAGGGCAAGGGGAGACAGUUGUCUGGAGGCCCACUGCCUUGGGGCCCCCCCAGAAGCAAGUCACAUGACCGACUCCCCCAGCUGUGCACCCGCCCGGGCUUCCUUCAGUUGUAUUCAUCCUCCGAAACUGAUUAUUUCAAGACACAACAACAUUUGGAGUCCAACCCCUCUUCUGUCUGGUACUGUUCUAUUAUUCAGUCUCCAACCAGCGUCACCACCUUAGAGCCUCCAUCCCAUCUCUUUGAAGCCAGUAAGGAACAGGUGGGGAUUGAAAAGGUGGAGGUCAAAAGCUUCACUUGCAGGUGCUUUAGAAGGCAGCAGCUGCCUUGCAAGGAGGUUUUUCACACAUGGCUCUCUAUGCCUUGGGGUAUCUGAAGUGCGAAUCUGCUUUGCAGCAACCUUUGAACUGGCAACCUUCUGCUUGUUAAUCAAGCAUUUCCCCACUGCACCACUUAAGGUGACAGGUGGAGAAGUAGCCCACUGCUAACUGAGGAAGGAGGAACACUGGAAGUGGCCUUAUACCAAGUCAGAAGCACUAGGGAUAUACUAACAUUCUGUCAUCAUAUGGUCAUUUCAUUGAUUCACCAGUCACAGCCACCACCAAAUUAAAUCAACUGUUACAAAAAACAAGUUAAAAAGUUAAUAAAUUUACUUUAUUCUUACAAGGAGAAUACAAGUUACGUUUCUCAUUACAAUUUUAAAUUUCAGAUAUCCCCAAAAGGGUGAAGUGCAUACAGCUUUUCUGUUUACUCCCCAGUGUCUAAAAAAAAAGAGAGAUCCAAACAAGCUUCCAGAUUUUAAUAAAUGUAUUUAAGGCAAAAGCAACAGAAGAUUACAUCAUUUUUAAAUGUCUGAAUUGCAAAUCUCUGUAUGUGGAAAGAAGCAUGGGAGCGCUCACAGAUUUACAGUUCAAUUCUCAAUUUGCUGCCUCUAAUGGAAGGCUACGAAUUAAUACACCUCAACAUUUCACACCAAGUGGCCGACAUCCUGACUAAAAGUGCACUUGGGCAAGGAUGUUGCAAAGGCAAUAGGGAUGUGCAUGGAACCGCGGUGGGGAGGCUUAAAGGCGGUGAGGGUGUCGCUUUAAGAGCGGGGGAGGGUGCACUUACGCCUCCUCCCCGCCGGCGUCAUCCGUUUUUGUAAUAAUUAAUCAGAAUGACAUCCACAA